rnacentral:rRNA from 1 species
UCAAAAACAUAGCUUGAGGUUUUAAUCUUAGGUUAGGCCUGCCCAGUGAUAUUUUUAACGGCCGCGGUACUUUGACCGUGCUAAGGUAGCAUAAUCAAUUGACUUUUAAUUGGAGUCUGGAAUGAAAGGAGAAACGGGAAUUUACUGUCUUUAAUUUUAUCUUUUGAAGUUACUAAUUAGAUGAAAAGGUCUAAAAGUGAAAAAAGACGAGAAGACCCUUAGAGUUUCUUUAUAAUUUUGUUGGGGCGACAUGAGAGCAUAGAAGUAAUAACCUCUUAAUUUUUAAAUAACAUGAAAUUUUUAUUUUGAUUGGAUAAACUACCUAAGGGAUAACAGCAUAAUCUUUUUUAGGUUUGUGACCUCGAUGUUGGACUAGGGAAUUUGUUGGUUAGUCGCUAAUAAAAAAAGUUCUGUUCGAACUGUUGUACCCUACGUGAUCUGAUUCCAGACCGGA